rnacentral:rRNA from 1 species
UACAGAGAGUGCGAACGUUGUUCGGAAUUACUGGGCGUAAAGGGCGCGUAGGCGGCCUUCUAAGUCAGACGUGAAAUCCCCAGGCUUAACUUGGGAACUGCGUCUGAUACUGGAGGGCUUGAGUGCGGGAGAGGGAUGUGGAAUUCCAGGUGUAGCGGUGAAAUGCGCAGAUAUCGGGAGGAACACCUAUGGCGAAGGCAGCUCGCUGGGACGUUACUGACGCUGAGACGCGAAAGCGUGGGGAGCAAACAGG